rnacentral:misc_RNA from 1 species
AAAAUUGUUAAAAGACUACCUAUAAAUACAACAUAAUUUGCUUGAUUUCUUGUCACCAGAUCAGGAAACGAAGUGAGAGAAGCACUGAUACAGCAGUAAAAUAUUAAGUUUAUUUCUCAUGGCAUCGACCAAAUCAUCAUCAGUGACAAUACUAGAAGUUUGCAAGGUUGCUCAACCUAACCUGUCACCGGAGUCGGCCACAGAAUUGUCUCUCCCUCUUACCUUCUUUGAUUCCACAUGGCUGAAUUUCCCUCCAAGCCAGUGCCUCUUCUUUUACAAAUUUACUGAGUCAAUUACUUCUGCUUUCUUUCACUCGGAAAUCCUCCCCAAACUCAAACGAUCACUCUCGCACACCCUCUUCCACUUCCCUCCUCUUGCCGGCCACCUCACUUGGCCUCCUCAUUCUACCAGACCCAUCAUCCUUUACUCUCCAAAUGAUGCCGUUUCGCUCACAGUUGCGGAGACUAAUGCCGAUAUUGAUAGACACAUGGGCAAUCAGGUCCGUGACGUUUCCGAGUCGCGUCCUUAUGUACCAGAGUUGCCAAUAUCGGAAACAACGUCACCAACAAUGGCCUUGCAGAUAACAGUACGUCCUGGUAAAGGAUUUACCGUUGGCAUCACCACACACCAUGCAGUUUUUGAUGGAAAGAGUGCUUACAUGUUCUUGAAGGCAUGGUCCUAUAUAUGCAAACACAGUGAUGAAAACGGAAAUUCCUUCCCUUUAUCACAGGAAUUAAUCCCGUUGUUUGACCGGACAAUUAUCAAAGACCCUGCCAGACUCGAAUCUAUGUACCUGAACCAAUGGAUGGACUCAAACAGAAAGUAUUCAGAGUCAUCCAACCCACGAAGCUUGGAAGUGUUGCGAUUUUUCUUUGAUGUGCCACCCAAUGACUUGGUUCGAUCCGCGUUUAAGCUGAGCAGCGAAAGCCUUGGAAAAAUCAGGGAAAGUGUACUGCUUCACCACCAACAGCAGCAGGCUGCAGGGCUAAAUACUGUUAAAAAACUUCGCCUCUCUGCAUUUGUGCUCACAUGUUCUUACACGUUAGUCUGCAUGGUGAAGGCAAAAGGAGAAGUUAGUGGUAAAAAGGUUAUAUUUGUGUUUGCUGUGGAUUGUAGGAGCCGUUCGAGCAUAAAUCCCCCAAUUCCACUGAAUUAUUUUGGGAAUUCUGUAUGUCUCCAUGACUUGUCUGCAGAAGCUGAAGAUUUUGUGGGUGAAAACGGAGUUGCCAUUAUAGCUGAGAGGUUGAGUGACUAUGUAAAUGGACUGGACAAGUUACUUUUUGAAGAAGCAAAGGAGAGGAUAGAAAGAAUGAGUGUUGUAGGACCAGAGGUGCUGAAGUUUGGGAUAGCUGGGUCGACGAAGCUGGCGUUUUACAAUGUAGAUUUUGGAUGGGGAAAGCCUGAGAUGGUGGAGAUACCGUCCAUAGAUCAUGACAAUGCUUUUUCCCUGAUGGAAGGUAGAGAUGGAAAGGGAGAAGU